rnacentral:misc_RNA from 1 species
GAUGAAGAACGCAGCGAAAUGCGAUACUUGGUGUGAAUUGCAGAAUCCCGUGAACCAUCGAGUCUUUGAACGCAAGUUGCGCCCGAAGCCAUUAGGCCGAGGGCACGCCUGCCUGGGCGUCACACGUCGUUGCCCCCCCAUCUACUCCUUCGGGAUUGCGGGGGGCGGAUGAUGGCCUCCCGUGCGCCUCGUCGCGCGGUUGGCAUAAAUGCCAAGUCCUCGGCGACGCUCGCCACGACAAUCGGUGGUUGCGAAACCUCGGUUGCCCGUCGUGUGCGGUCGUCGCGCAUCGAGGGCUCGAAAAAAUUGCCGGGCUCCGGCUCGGCUUUCAACGCGACCCCAGGUCAGGCGGGGUUACCCGCUGAAUUUAAGCAUAUCAAUAAGCGGAGGA